UGCACAUAUUGUGAGCUCGAUGAGUAGGGCGGGACACGUGGUAUCCUGUCUGAAUAUGGGGGGACCAUCCUCCAAGGCUAAAUACUCCUGACUGACCGAUAGUGAACCAGUACCGUGAGGGAAAGGCGAAAAGAACCCCGGCGAGGGGAGUGAAAAAGAACCUGAAACCGUGUACGUACAAGCAGUGGGAGCCUCUUAAUGGGGUGACUGCGUACCUUUUGUAUAAUGGGUCAGCGACUUAUAUUCUGUAGCAAGGUUAACCGAAUAGGGGAGCCGAAGGGAAACCGAGUCUUAACUGGGCGUUAAGUUGCAGGGUAUAGACCCGAAACCCGGUGAUCUAGCCAUGGGCAGGUUGAAGGUUGGGUAACACUAACUGGAGGACCGAACCGACUAAUGUUGAAAAAUUAGCGGAUGACUUGUGGCUGGGGGUGAAAGGCCAAUCAAACCGGGAGAUAGCUGGUUCUCCCCGAAAGCUAUUUAGGUAGCGCCUCGUGAAUUCAUCUCCGGGGGUAGAGCACUGUUUCGGCAAGGGGGUCAUCCCGACUUACCAACCCGAUGCAAACUGCGAAUACCGGAGAAUGUUAUCACGGGAGACACACGGCGGGUGCUAACGUCCGUCGUGAAGAGGGAA
rnacentral:rRNA from 1 species